rnacentral:rRNA from 1 species
AUUGAACGCUGGCGGCAUGCUUUACACAUGCAAGUCGAACGGCAGCGCGGGCUUCGGCCUGGCGGCGAGUGGCGAACGGGUGAGUAAUGCAUCGGAACGUGCCCAGUAGUGGGGGAUAGCCCGGCGAAAGCCGGAUUAAUACCGCAUACGAACUGAGGGUGAAAGCGGGGGACCGAAAGGCCUCGCGCUAUUGGAGCGGCCGAUGUCGGAUUAGCUAGUUGGUGGGGUAAAGGCUUACCAAGGCGACGAUCCGUGGCUGGUCUGAGAGGACGACCAGCCACACUGGGACUGAGACACGGCCCAGACUCCUACGGGAGGCAGCAGUGGGGAAUUUUGGACAAUGGGGGCAACCCUGAUCCAGCCAUGCCGCGUGCGGGAAGAAGGCCUUCGGGUUGUAAACCGCUUUUGUUCGGGAAGAAAUCCUCUGGGCUAAUACCCCGGGGGGAUGACGGUACCGGAAGAAUAAGCACCGGCUAACUACGUG